rnacentral:lncRNA from 1 species
AGACAUUAAUCCAACAGUCUCCCACUUGGAUAAGUCUAAAACUAUUAUUGCGUAUGACUUCAGGAACCAACUGGCAAUCGUAGCUCUCAAAAGCUUCUGUCGAACUCUGACCUUGUAGAUGAACUCUGACCUUUGUCAAUGACUUGUCCAUUAGAUAAGGGAUCAUAUAUUCCUCCAUUCUAGAUAUCAUAUGGACUGAGACAUGGAUUAUAAUCAUUCUCUCUGUCCAUUUGUUGUUUCCCGAUUUCCGAUUUAUGACGACUGACUAAUUGAACAAAUCAAAUCAGUCCUGGCCCGGCCGAGCACUUCCAUUUGUCAUCAUCAAAUCAUCGAGGGGCCCACAGAUAUCGCUUUUAUCCCGAAGGUAAAAGGAACGGAUAAACUUCGACUCAUAUGGCUUGUUCUACUACUUGUUGAAUCAUACACAAAGGCACGUUUUAUAGCACCGAGUUACCAAAUGCGUUUUCGUGCAAUCAAUGUACUAUCAACUCAUAGUAACAACUCAUAUCUCUAGGUUUGAAGAAUAUAAGAUAUUAUCGUCUCAUGAUCACUCGUGAUAAAAUCCAUGAAGUGAUUCCAAUGAGCGCGGGUUGAAUCCAAUACUCAGAACUUAUGAGCACUCAUGAGUGUUGUAGCCCUUUGUCCAACACCUUAGACCUCUACAAGCCAACCCAUGACAGUCUUAAUUCAUAUCUACUUCCAACAUAUGACCGACUGUGGAUGGUUUGAAUAACUUAGUCAUUCCGGAAGAAUAACCUAGUUUAUUCGGGAAGUCAAAACAUGCAAAGUGAAACACAAUAAUAAUUGAAUCCAAUAUGGUAUCAACCCUUUGAACAUAAAUAAAACACCUUUUAUUUAUCACCAUAUGAUUACACAUUAUUCAUUGUAUACUGUUUCAGCUAUCAACUUUAUUCUUGAAUUUAAAACAAUAGUUGUCCCAUGCUCCAAGCAUGUACACUAUGUUUUCUUAAACACUAGUCAUGCCACACACCAAGUAUGCAUACUAUGUUUGUCUAUGAUCUUUACUUUGUGAACUAGAUCAAUUGAACAUAACUUCAAUGAUUCUCUUUUCACACUCCCAAAUCCUUACUGCAAAUGCAAGAAUUCCAAAUUCAUGCCAUUUACUGAAAUCUGUUAGAUUCUAAACUUAUAUGCAUUGAUCCUCUUGUAAUGAUUAUGCACAAAGUCAGAAAGACUUGACAACAAUCAUUACAGAGUAUUCCAAAGGAGAUCAGCUCCUUGGAAACAUCCUUCUUGCAUUAAGUUUCCUAAUCUUAAACAGAUUGAAAAUUCUAACUUUGAAACAUUUCCAGAUUCCAUUUUGACUAUCACUUCUGAACAAGAGUUGCCUCCUUACAGAUUAUGUCAAUAUGGUCCUUCCAGAAUUAUCACUAUACUUCCAACUGUCCUUGAGCAACCAAUCUUUGGUAAACCUUAGAUUGUCCUCGACAAUUGUUUAAUCCUUUUAGUCAUAUCCAGUUCUAAACCUUUUCCCUUCUUAAUGCCCCAGGCAUUUGGAAAAUUUUAGAACGGAUGAAUAUAGCACAUGUAAUCGAUCCUAUAUCCGAAGCAUAUGGGACACGAUUCAUGAUGUCUCACAUAAAGACUAAACCAGUCUUUUGCUAUAACAUUUCCAUUUCAAUUUGCCAAGUUCUCAUAAUUCAGAUUAUGAAAAGGGAUGCCGUAAUCAUAAUCGAAUUUUAGAACGCAAAUAAUGGACCCAUAUACAGAAUUUCCUUAUGUUGAGCCAUUCCAACAUGAAAUUCAUAUAUAUCCUUGACUAAAUGAUUAAAACCUCACGAUCUAAGCUUAUAGAUUUGAGAUGAAGUAUAAUUUCCUCUCCCUUAAUUAUAGCAAAACAACUUUUUCCCAAUUGAAACUUUUGUUUUCUAUAAUUAACAUUGCUAACUUGCAAUACUUAUCAUAAUUAUCAUGCUCCCACUAACAUGAUGAUUAUUAGCAUAACACUUAUGCUCCCACUAGCUUUGACAUGUACUCAGAAAUCAGCUGGACUUCUAGAAAUCAAUACUUCAUUGACUUUCUUACCAAAGUUCAGAUUUCUGAUGCUAGAUUGUUUUGAUAAAACUUUAUCAAAAUCAUACACCUUCCCUUAGAUAGCACACUUGUGUGUCUAAACAAUUAUGAAGAGGUAUGCCGUAAUCAUAAUGGUUAGACCUUUUUGCCACUUCUCACAAGUCCAGGUUAGUGUGCCGGUAAACCACACACGCUCCACUAACGACUUUGAGAAUGCAAAUAUCACAAUUGCUAUCUAGCUAAAAUCUACUUAGUGAAAGUGUUUCCUCACCAUCAUUUUCAUGAAUCGGAGAGAAACCUUAUGACACUUAGAUUUAAUGGUGUAUGUGUUCUUAUCCAUGUGAAUUGUCAAAACCAUAGUCACAAGACAAGGAUAAUGACAAAUCCAAACUCAUAUGGACUGAACUCAAUCUUAAUUUCUUGCCACCUGGCAGCUCAAGGGCCUGCCAUUGCUUCCAAGUUGUUGUGCAACAAAUUGAGAACUCUAAGAACUCAUAUGCAAAGCCAACUUUAACUGGAAUGGGCACAGAAUAUGUCAACACGAUAGGUUAUAAACCUCAAGUCGUGUGCUAGUGAAGAACUUCAGGUUUUAUUCUUGAUUAGUUCUUGAGACUUUCAAGACCUUUAAGACUCCCACUGUCCUCUUGACAUAUAAGACUCCCUUGUCAAACAUCCAAGAGAUAGUGCGGAUUCUAAUCAAGAAAAACACUUUACCCAAUUGGCCUAAGUUGGUCUUUGUUUUAUCCAAAACAUCACAACUUACCAAUUUCAAAUGUACAAGAGUAGAAAACUUUUACUCUUACAUUUGACAAGUGUUUUAAACCUUCUUUAAGACAUGUCACUCAAAUUACAAUCUUGGAGUAUGACUCUAAGACUUGUAUUGGAACGAAGUAUGACUCAUCUUCUUGAUUUAACCAUUUCAACAAUUCAAGUUCCUCUUCUUAGUCAUAAGAAUGCACUAAGAUUUCCUUAGAGAACUAAUUUUGAUAUGGUUUCUUAAUCAUUAAGAUGAUCACAAAACUGAUACUAAAGUACUCUCCCAUCUUUUCAGAUUUGAGAAACUUUUAUCCUUCUGCCUAAUUUGAUUCUUCUUAUUCGCCCUGCCAUACAUUGGAACCUUUUCCAAUGUCUCAGAGUUACACUUAAGCUUGUAAGUAUAAUCAUAUUUACUGAGCUUUAGUAAACUAUGACGAAUAGUCUUAUCAAUCUUUUGUGGUGGACUUAAUCAGUGCACAAGAAUGUGUACUCGAUCCCUUAGUCCUUUACUUGACUCACACAUCCAUGUGGCCGAGUAAUUAGUCUUAAUUUUCCAAAACUUGAAAGUUCUCAUUCAUCAUGCUAUACAACUUGCAUGAUUCCAAGUUCCGGUCCAAUUGAAACUUGGGUGAUGAGAAUCUUUCCUUAUUUGGUAAAUCUAGACAUUACCACAAAUGAAAGAAUCAAUUUCAUAUUUCCACUCUUGCUCUUAAUGGAAUCAUAUAAGCAACAAUUUUUCCUCAAAAGCCAUUGUAAGGAUAUUUUAAAAUAAAUAAAAUCAAAAAAAUUUUCUUUUAUUUUAAAACUUUGCGGAAAAACUUAUCCUUACAAUCCAUAUGAAAACUUGUUGUUAUCUAUUCCUAAGCAAUAUCUCAUAACUCCUAAGAAGUUGCUCAAGAAUCCGAUCUUCAAACUAUGCGAUAGAAAUCCAUCUACGCCAUCAGAUUCAGCAUAUUCUUUCUUUAAGUUUCUUCACUUUUCUUUGAUUCUUAAAACAUCACCAUGUGACCCAGUCACAUCAUGUAUCAGGAAUCUCAGAAUAGAAACUUAACAGAGUUAGAUAGUGGACUUUACCUGAAGUAGAGUCAAACUUAUUGACUUUAACAUCCUUAGGUAAAUUUGGCAGCUUCGCAACCAAUGCCCCUUCCUUUGGCAAUAUAAACAUAUGGACCCUUUGAUAAUGGUACACGAGACUAUCACAGACUUAGCUUUUCUCUUUACCAUUUGGUCAACCGAGUUGACUAUGGCCGAUCCCUUUCCAUUGGGAAGAGAAUGCUUUACUGGAUAUCCAAUGUCAUCAUUGUCAAUGUCCAUAAAGUUUUAGGAAGUUGAUCUUAGCAAAUAGAUAAGAUCAUUAAGGGUCUUGUCAUAGUCUGUUUCAUAGGUGUCCCAAAGGAACUCACUAUGUGACUUAGAAAGUGAUUGAACCACCAACUUUCUCAAGACUUUGACACCCAACUCUCCCGGCUUGUCAAUAUGUGACUACAUCUCCAAGAUGUGAUCACACCUAGACCUUGCCUUGCCAAUAGGGCUUGAGUGACCUUAAACUUUUCAAGAACUUGUGGGUUAGGGAGAAUAAUUGGAGGAGGAGAAAGAAGUAUGAUAUCCAUGGGACAUCAUCUUCAUUAGGAAACCUUGUUUCAAGAGAUUUGGGAAGAUCAUAGGUGUCUAAACCAGACAUCUUUUGGGAGAUAUUCAAGAUAGUUGAUUUAAAGUCCUUAAUAUGACACCCAAUAUGAAAUAUUAAGGCUAGGACCCAACAAACUAUUUUAUAACUUAGAAGAGGUAUGCCGUAAUCCAAGCUAUAAAAUAUUUGAAGGUAGGUGAAUGACGAUUCACCAAUUUCCACCAAGAUAAACGAAAUGUAUUAUUAGGUUUUAAUUGGUUUUGAAACUCCUAGAUCUUUGAGAUUCAUUGAACUGUUCAAAGGCAUGUUUCAAUCUCGAGUGUGCCCUUCAGGUUUUGUGACUGGGAUGCCGAGGAUCACAAAACAAGGUGUGAAGUAACCAUGCAAAUCACUUGGUACCCUUAAUAAAUUACCCCUCAAUCGAUGUGCCGGUUAACCACACACGCUCCAUCGAUACUAUGAUAAAUAUUAAGUCACCCUUUACCUACCUUGUUAAGUCCAAGUUAGUGUGCCGGUUAACCACACACGCUCCACUAACGACUUAGACAAAGUGUAAAGUGUAAUUUCAUGGAUUAGCACCUUAUUCACAUUUUUCCUAAGUAACUAAGAUUGGGUAUUAUUAAGAGUUUAGUUACUUAGUAUUAUCAUUAAUACUUUUAAUGAAGGGAGAAUUCUAGUCCUGUCAAACCCGUUCGGCUAACGACCCUCCACCAGUCAAGCAAGCGGUGGGUGAGAGUGGACACCCAUUAAGUUGCCAUUUUAUAGGCAACAACCUUAUACCCACCUUAUAGACCGGCUUCGUGAAUGAGGCGUACUAGCGGUAAGACUGACUUUACUCUUAUACAUAUAUAUAUUAUUAACUUAUAAUAUUAUAAAGUAUAAGGGUUGAAUUUUAACUUUUAAAAUUCUAAGGGCUAACUUGGAAUUAAAGUAUUCAUAAGUGAAAACUUUACAAAUUCCAAAACUUGAGGGCAAGUUUUGAAACUAUUCAAAACUAAUUAAUUCCAUAACUUAUGUGUUUAAAGUAGUUUUAAUCCAAAAACUCUUCAAGUUCCAUAACUUGAGGACAAGUUAUGGAAGACUUUAAACUAAUAAAAGAAUUAACUUUUCUUUAUUUUAUAACUUAUGGAAUUAAUUAAGGUUACACUUUUUUUUUUUUUAUUUUAUUUUAUUAAAUGAAGAGACUCUUGGUCCUCCAUAACUUGAGGACAAGUUAUGGAGUCAUAAAACCAUUUAAUUAGAACUAGACUCUUCAUUUUUGUAACCUUUGCCAAUUUUUAUGAGUUUUAUGAUUCUUAAAUGUGACUUUUCAUAUAACUUGAGGACAAGUUACAAAAACACAUUUUAGAAUCAAUUCUUAGAUUAAUUUGGAUUAAAACCAACUAUCACAUAAUUUUAUUCAUUAAUCUAAAUUCACUCAUAAAACAAGGUAACACAAAAAACUUUUGGUGAUCCAUAACUUAUUCUUAAGUUAUGGAAUCCUUUAAAACAUUAACACCAAAUUUUGUAACUCCAAAAAAACUUUGAAUCAAUUUUUUUUUUAAAACCUUUUCAUAUCCAUAACUUAUGGAGGUUUCAAAAAAUAAAACUCUUUAGAUCAAACUUUUAAAACUAAUAAAAUAAUCAUAUUAUUUUAUCUUUUAUUAAAUUUGACCUAAUUCAACUCAUAAAGCAAAUUAUUCAAAUUUUACAAAUAAUUAGUUUUUCACAAGAACAAGUAAUUAUCUUAAAAUUUGACAAACUUCAUGUUUUUUUUUUUUUUUUUUUUCAACUUUGAAAAUAAAAUAUUUGCAUCAAUAUAACAGAAAACAACCCGUGGCUCUGAUACCACUGUUGGGUUUUGAGCAUUCUAACACUUCCUAAGUGUACAUGCAACCCUAAAUACCUUGGAUCUAUGUUUUCUCUAUUAUACAUGCAAAUAAGAACUUCCAAGGUAUUAUCCUAAUCUAGCAUACAAAACAAUAACUAUAGCAAGAUAGAAUACAUACCUCUUUGGUGUAGAAAGUCUUCAUGAAGCUUGAGUGCCUAGUGCCCCAAGUGUGACACCUCAAAUGGAAUCACAAUCAUCAAAACACUUAGAAUGACUUGAGAGAAUUCUACACUCAUCAAAAUCGGCUAGCCCUUUCUUCACUAUCUCUAGUGGCCGAUUUUUCCUCAAUAAUAAGAUGCUUAUAUAGUUACACAAUUAGGGUAAACUCUUAAUUGUCAUGGCUUUCCAUUUCCUUGGAUCCAUGGGUACAAAUACACCAUGGAGCAUCCAUGGACCAUCCUAUGGGUUUUAGCCCAACUUGAUUAUCCAUGGAGCAUUAGCCCACUAUACAAGUAUGGAUGAUUUACACAAUCAACCCAUAUAUUUAAUUAGUCUUCUUUUGAUCACUUAAUUAAUCCUAGAUUAAUUCUUGAUCAAUACUAAUUAAAUAAUCUUAUUAUUCUUAUUAUUAAUAUACUAGAACUUAUAAUAUAUUAAUAACCAUAAGUGUCUUAUUUCUCUCAUUAUAGUCUAUCCAAGUGCAUGAUGGUAUGCAACCCAAAUGGACCAUGCCGGGUCGGGUCAAGUCUUACCAAUUAUAGUUAUGGACUUAGACAUUAAUCCAACAGUCUCCCACUUGGAUAAGUCUAAAACUAUUAUUGCGUAUGACUUCAGGAACCAACUGGCAAUCGUAGCUCUCAAAAGCUUCUGUCGAACUCUGACCUUGUAGAUGAACUCUGACCUUUGUCAAUGACUUGUCCAUUAGAUAAGGGAUCAUAUAUUCCUCCAUUCUAGAUAUCAUAUGGACUGAGACAUGGAUUAUAAUCAUUCUCUCUGUCCAUUUGUUGUUUCCCGAUUUCCGAUUUAUGACGACUGACUAAUUGAACAAAUCAAAUCAGUCCUGGCCCGGCCGAGCACUUCCAUUUGUCAUCAUCAAAUCAUCGAGGGGCCCACAGAUAUCGCUUUUAUCCCGAAGGUAAAAGGAACGGAUAAACUUCGACUCAUAUGGCUUGUUCUACUACUUGUUGAAUCAUACACAAAGGCACGUUUUAUAGCACCGAGUUACCAAAUGCAUUUUCGUGCAAUCAAUGUACUAUCAACUCAUAGUAACAACUCAUAUCUCUAGGUUUGAAGAAUAUAAGAUAUUAUCGUCUCAUGAUCACUCGUGAUAAAAUCCAUGAAGUGAUUCCAAUGAGCGCGGGUUGAAUCCAAUACUCAGAACUUAUGAGCACUCAUGAGUGUUGUAGCCCUUUGUCCAACACCUUAGACCUCUACAAGCCAACUCAUGACAGUCUUAAUUCAUAUCUACUUCCAACAUAUGACCGACUGUGGAUGGUUUGAAUAACUUAGUCAUUCCGGAAGAAUAACCUAGUUUAUUCGGGAAGUCAAAACAUGCAAAGUGAAACACAAUAAUAAUUGAAUCCAAUAUGGUAUCAACUCUUUGAAC